rnacentral:rRNA from 1 species
UACGGGGGGGGCAAGCGUUGUUCGGAAUUACUGGGCGUAAAGGGCUCGUAGGCGGCCAACUAAGUCAAACGUGAAAUCCCUCGGCUUAACCGGGGAACUGCGCUUGAUACUGGAUGGCUUGAGAUUGGGAGAGGGAUGCGGAAUUCCAGGUGUAGCGGUGAAAUGCGUAGAUAUCAGGAGGAACACCUAUUGCGAAGGCAGCUCGCUGGGACGUAACUGACGCUGAGACGCGAAAGCGUGGGGAGCAAACAGG